ensembl:lncRNA
AUGCGACCCGGGAAGAGGAUGACAGUGGAAGGCGUUCUCCAUAAGAUAAGUCUUAUGAUUAUGGAUGAUAAGGAAGUUUUCACAAUGAGUCCCACCUCGGCUGUGAGUUUGGCAUGCAUAGUCUUUCUUAGAUUGAGAUGCACUCCUUCUGGACCUAAUUGAUUGCAAGUGGUCUUAUUUGGGGAUGCUGUGCAAAAUCGGGGAGGUAAAGGCCUAGCUGGAGGAGGCAGGUCACCCGAGGGAGAUCCUUGGGGACACAGGACCAUUGUCACUUCUGCCCUCAUCCUGUUCUCUGCCACACUGUAAUAUGAACAGCUGUCUCUGCCAUCAGCUCCCACCACUAUGGCGUUCUCCAGCUCCUAGUGCCAAGCAACUAUGGACUGAGACUUAUGGAACCAUGAACCAGAAUGAACAUUUGCUUCCUUUUCCUGUCAGGCAUUUCUGUGAGAGCGAGGCAAAUGGAACUAAUACAUGUGACAUGUGUCACACUUCAUACUGUAAGUGUGAUGCAUUACAGUUGAACUGUCUUUGUAUCGAAGGGACAUUGUCUUAGUGAAUGAUCUUUUUAAUAGUUUGCCAAAUUUGGUUUGCUAAUAUUUUGUUGAAGACUCCUAUAUGUAUAGUAGUCAGGAAUAUUGGCCUAUACUUUUCAUUUCUUCCAGCAUCCAUAUCUGUCUUUAGGGUCAAUAUAAUGCUGAAAUCACAAAAUGAAUUCAGAAGAAUUUUCUCAACCUCGGGUUUUUUUUUUUUUUUCAUCUGUUUGUUUGUUUUUGUUUUAAAGACAAGUCUCUCAUUAAACCUGGAAAUCACUGCAGCCACUAGUGAGCAAUCCCCAAGGAAUUCUCCUGCUUCUGGCCACCCAGUACUGGAGUUACAGGUGUGUUCUGUCAUGCCAGCUUUUUAUACAGUAUAUUGGGUUUUUAUUGCUGUGAAGAGACACCAUGACCACAGCAACAUUUAUAAAGAAAAUUUUUAAUUGGAGUGGCUCACUUACAGUUUCAGAGGCUCAGUCCACUAUCAUAAGGAUGGGAGCAUGGCAGGACACAGGCAGAUGUGGUGCUGGAGCUGAGAGCCCUACAUCUUGCAGGCAACAGGAAGUUGACUGUCACACUGAGGGAAGUUUGGGCAAAAGAGACCUCAAAGCCCGCCCCCACAGUGACACACUUCCUCCAACAAGGCCACACCUCCCACUAGUGCCACUCCUUUGGGGGCCAUUUUCUUUCAGACCACUACAUACGGGUACUAAAGACCGAAACCAGAUCCCCACCUCUGCAUGGCAAGGGCUUCACCAACGGAGCCACCUCCCCACCCCCACUUCUGAUUUUCUCUCUCUUCUUAGCCAAUAAUGCUGACAUUUUGUGAGCUGGUUAGUUUUCUCAACUUGAUCCAAACAUGGACAUGACCGGGAAGAAGAAGAGUCAACCGAAGAAUCACCUCCAUCAAACCAGCCUGUGGGUGUGCGGAUUCGUAUGCUGGUGGGGUUUUCUUGGUUGCUGAUUGAUGUGAAAAGACCCAGCCACUAAAGGACGUCCCAUCCCUGAGUGCCUGGGCCUGGGUGGUGUAGGAAGAGCAGAUGAGCAAGCCAGAAGAAGCAAGCCAGUGAUCAGUGUUCCUCCAUGACCUGCUUCAGUUCCUGCCUCCAGAUUCCUUUCUUGAGUUUCUUCUCUGGCUUCCCUCAGUGAUGGACUAUAAACCUAUAAGCUAAAACUAACACCUUCCUCCUGAGUGGAUUUUGAUCAGUGUUUUAGCACAGCAAUAGAAAUCAAACAAGAACAGUUUGCCAAUCUUGUCUCUUUAAGGAAAAUCAAGUUUAGUCUUUUGAUGUUUUUCUCCAUUUUUUCAAUGCUCGAUUAUUUCUGUUCUAUCUUUGCUAUUUUUUUCUGCUCACUCUUUUGGGUUUUGUUUUCUUUUUUCUACUUUCUUGAGCAAUAAGGCUACUUAAGUUGUUCUUUUUAAUAAGCAUUUACUGUUAUUAACUUCUCUCAUGAAUGUGGCAUGCUGUGUUUCCAUUUCUGUUUGUCUCAGGACAUUUUCUGAUUUCCCUCUGAAGAUCUUCUUUGACUCAUGUUCACAAAGCAUAUUGCUUAAUCUUCAUGUAUUAUGAAUUUUCUGACAUCCUUCCUAUUGCUUCCCAGCUUAAUACCAUUGUGACAGGGAAUGACACUUGACAUGAGUCAGCUCUCUUAAAUGUCUCAGUCCAUCCCAAAGAAUGUACUGUACUUGAAAAGAAUGUGUAUUUUGCUUCUAUUUUAUGGGAUGUUUUCUGUGUCUCACAGUUCUAUUCACUCUAAAGCCUGAUUCUUACCCAAUGUUUCUUUGCUAUCUACUGAAUUGAACCAUAUACCCAUUGUUGACAGUGGGACACUGAGGUCCCCAAACUCUGUUGUAUCACAACCUACAUCUCCAGAUCAUGUAAUUUUUUAUGUCUAGCUGUGUCUAUGUUGGGUAUAGGUAUAAUUUUAAUAGCUUCUUGAUAAUUUAAUUCUUUAUUAUUGUAUAAUUGUUGUGGAACAUUAGUUGAAGAGGUGUUACAUUCGUUUAUGCUGUGGAGCAUUUGUUUAAGGAUGCAAAGAUGUGCUGCGCUCUUUCAUGUUGCAUUUGUUUAACUCUAUGAAGUUGUGUUACGUUGCCUAGCUAAAACACCUGAUUGGUCUAAUAAAGAGCUGAAUGGCCAAUAGCUAGGCAGGAGAAGGAUAGGCAGGGCUGCCAGGCAGAGAGAAUAAAUAGGAGAAGAAGCAGAAGACAGAGCGAAAAAAGGAGAGGGGAUGCCCGCCAGGGGCCAGCCACCCAGCAACACAGCCAGACAUUGAAUAAGAAGGAAAGAAAAUAUAUACAGAAAUAGAGAAAGGUAAAAAUCUCAGAGGCAAAUGGUAGACAGGACAAUUGAAGAAAAGCUGGCUAGAAAUAAGCCAAGUUAAGGCUGGGCAUUCAAGAAAGUCUCCAUGUGAUUAUUUGGGAGCUGGGUGUUGGGUUCCCAAAGAAUAAAGAGGAAAAAAAGCCUGUACAUAAUGACCUUCUUUAUUUAUCUUUUGCAGUUUUUUUUUAAUGUAUGUUCCAUUUUUUAAGUGUAUGCCGUGCAUGUGGCAUCCUGAAAGACCAGAUAGUAUCAUCAAAUGAGAGUUACAGAUGGUUGUGGGUCAUCCUGUGUAGGUUACUUGGCUUUAUUUCCUUUCUCAGGUGUUUCAGUUCCAGGAUUCUGCAAUCUUCUAUCUUUCGUCGGUGCCAGGGCAUUUCAGGAGGGAGGACUGCUUGUAGCCUUUAUUGGUAUUUUUGCUGUUUAGCUUGAGUUUCCAGAUGGCCAGCUGGUUGUAACAGGGAAUACUUAUUACCAGGUUCUCUAAUUGGGCCUGACCUUUGCUCCAGAAUCAAAUGGAGCCCAUGGCUAGGGUUAUGCUCUCUAGUGAGAUCAUGGCUGGACUCUGAAGUCAGACAGAAUUCUUAGCUGGCCACUGCAAUUCCUCAGAAUCACAGACUGGAUUCUCUACCAGGCAGUACAAUUAGCAUUCUGUAGUUGGGUAAGGCUGCCAACUAAGGUCUGAGCUUAGAACCAUGGCUUGGAAUGGGUGAAUCCAGAGGCUACACUGCAUAAAAAUGCAUGGUUGAGGCUUGUUUCCUGACCUGGGUGGACUCCACACUGUUCAUCUGGGUUUCUACAAGUGACAAGCAUGGUUUUGUGGGUGGGUUAUGCUGUUAGCUGGUUUCCUUGACCCAGCACCAGUGUAAGCAAGAGCACAGAGCUGCCUCUGUGUCCUUCAGGUUUUCCCUUUCCUUAUGCCUGACCUUGGAGGCCUCACCCUGCAAUUACCCAGUGUUUCCCUUGAGGAGAGACAGGAACGCACUUCCUGGUAGCAUCUUGAAAUGCUAAGGAAACCAGUGACUGUCUACUGAGCUCUUUUCUCAGUGUGGAAACUGUAGGUUCCCAUAUCUCUGUGCAAGAGAAGGGGGAGGUCAGAGGUCAGAGAUCAGAGAUGGGGACCAUUGUGAUCUGAGACAUUCUUCUUACCCUUCUAUGUGAGUCUUUUGUUUUAGAUGAUUUUAGGUUGUCUGGGCCAUGCCAGUUUCUCAGAUUUGUUUUCAAGAUCAGGCUUUUCACAAAGUGUUCUUGUCUGCAAAAAUUUGAUGGAAUUCACACUUUGCUUAGUGGGAAAGGUGGAGGCAUGGAGCCCCUAUUCUGUCAUCUUGCUGAUUCUACUCCCCUCAAGUAUCUCUGUAUAAACUUAUAAUCCUUCCUCCCACAGCCUGCUAACAUCACAUUAAGCUGCACAUAACACAAUUCCACAUACCCUAAGCUUAGAACUACUUCCAGAGGAUCUGGAAAGUCUAAUAAAUGAAGUAAAAUGAUGCAUAAAAAUCAGGGCUAGGAUGCUGGUUUGAACAGGGGUACCAAACACGCUAACCACUAAACUGGAGCCUGGAGCUUCUGAAUCACAGGACAAUCUACAAGCUAAAUAUAGUUUCUCUCUUCACUGACCACUGGAAAGAUGACUAGCCAAUAGUGGCUACUUUGUGCCUACUAUGUGUCACAAACUAUGCUAGAGGUUAAGCUAAGACAAUGUCUACUUCUAAAGAGUCCAGCUUAAAAGGUGAACAAUCACACAAAUGCUACAGUGGAGUUCCAGAAGUGGUGUGAGGCAGAGGAAUGAACUGGCUGUUACCGAUACCGAGAAAGCUUCCUGAGGCUUGAACUCAGACCUUCACAUACAUGAGGCAUGUGCUCCACAACCCCAGAAAGAUGCUGGCCCAUCAGAAUGAGUAGAAAUGACUGCACAGCCCUCUAGGAGAAUAAAACUGAACAAAAGAUUAGACUGAUGCACAAAAGUGUCUGACUGGAGAGACAGAAAUGAUCAGCAAGCAGUCUAGGCAUCUUGACUUUUGGUGAGGAUGUUUUACCACUGUUUAAAACUUCUUUUCCUAACAGAGUUCAGGAAGAUUUCUAUAACUUUCCUGGUAAUGGGUCUUAGAUCUCAUCUAUUACAUAAAACACAGUGUGUCAAUUCGUAAUUACAAGUUAAAACAAUCUGGAACCCCUUAACCCCUAAAGAUGGGAUUUCUCAAAAGCUUGACUUGUUCUGAAGAAGUAGUUUGUUACCACAAAGUCUGUGAGCUGACUUCACCCCCCUUCCCCAAAUAUGUGACUCAAUCUCUGAAUGAUUUGUUGUCAAGUGAUUACAAAGACAUCCUGACAUUUGAUUUCCAGGCUGACCAGCUACUGCUGGAAUGAAUUAAUUUUUUCUGCCAUUUUAGUGGGUAAAGAGCACAAUCAUGAGUCAAAAAGAGCUGUGCAUGGUGGUGCAUGCCUUAAAUCCCAGCUCUUGGGAGUUCAAGGCCAGCCUGGUUACAAAGUGAGUUUCAGGACAGCCAGAGUUGUUACAUAGAGAAAUCCUGAAGGAGGAGGGGGUGGAGAAGGAGGAGGAGGAGGAGGAGAUGCAGAUUCUGGAAAGCCAGGCAGUGGUAGCACACACCUUUGAUACUAGAACCUGGGAGGCAGAAGCAGGCAGACCUCUGAGUUUGAGGCCAGCCUGGUCUACUGAGCAAGUUCCAGGACAGCUAGCCAGUACUACACAAGAGAAAUUCUGUCUCAAAAGAGAAAAAAAAAGAAAGAAAGGAAAAGAAAAAGAAAAAAAAUUCCUGGAAGAGUUGGUUUCCUUGCUAAGGUCUUAGGAACAAACACCCCUGUCCACUUUCUAUGCUUCCUCACACUCCAAAUUAGUCAAGCAAGCUCACUGCUUGUAUAUUUGUGUAACAAGCAAUGCUAAGCAGUUUUGUUAAAAACCGUGUGUGGUGUUCAAUAAAUAUGGCUUUCAUUUCAAUUCCACUCUAAUGGCUUUCUUAUGACUUAGCUCUUCCACUAAUUCCUUUAAACAUUCCAGUCCCCUCCCACCACCCUCCAAGAGGAUGGGCCUUGGUAUGUUAGUGUCCUGUUGCUGAGUUGUAGGUCCUUGGAAGUGUUUUCACAAUGUCAUUUGGCCACAAAAGGAGAACAGAACAAUCUUGAACUUGUGUUAAUCCUGAAACUUUCCAGAACUCCUAGCUUUCUAGGUUAGAACCAAACAGUUCACCAAACUCUCAGGACAGCAUAUGUACGAUGAGUGUUUGACUGGAGCCAACUAAGUCAUGUGACCUGUGGGACACAAAGAGAGGAUUUUAAUUUGUCUAAAUAAAAGGUUAAUUGCAUAUUAUUGCCUAAGAACUGAAUAAACAAUUGAGCCAACAUAACUGUAUUGGAGACCAUCAGACCCCACCACUAACACAUCUGUCUCUAGAAGUGAAGCCAUCUCUAACCUAAUCAUCUACUUGGAGCCCCGAAGCCAGAGCAUCUCCUCACACCAUAACAAACCCAUUCUGACCAAGACCUUGGAAAGCAACACAAAGAUUGCUACAUUAAAUGGCAUUUCAGUACGGUGUUCCUAAUUCCUAACUGCCAUGAAAUAAAAAAUAUCUCACUGAAGAAAUCAUUUGCAAGCGUAAAAACCUUUAUUAGGUUUGCCCUUGUUGUUUAGGGAUACUUCUGACAGACAGAAAAGGAAAUAAGGAAGCAAGCAAGGAGAGGAACCUAGACCAGAUAAUGGCAAGCUAAUUUGCUUGACGGUGGUAAUCAUAUCAUUGUGCACGUGUAUGUAAAAAUGUCACUUUGCAAACCUUUAAUAUAUACAAUAAAAAGCCCCCGCCACACUAUUUACAUGUUUGUCAUCUCACCUGGAAUCAGAAAGUGAUCUCUCGCUGUUAUUUAG